rnacentral:rRNA from 1 species
UGGGGAAUAUUGCGCAAUGGGCGAAAGCCUGAUGCAGCAACGCCGCGUGCGGGAAGAAGGCCCUAGGGUUGUAAACCGCUUUCAGCAGGGAAGAAAAUGACGGUACCUGCAGAAGAAGGUGCGGCCAACUACGUGCCAGCAGCCGCGGUGACACGUAGGCACCAAGCGUUGUCCGGAUUUAUUGGGCGUAAAGAGCUCGUAGGCGGUUCAGUAAGUCGGGUGUGAAAACUCUGGGCUCAACCCAGAGACGCCACCCGAUACUGCUGUGACUUGAGUACGGUAGGGGAGUGGGGAAUUCCUGGUGUAGCGGUGAAAUGCGCAGAUAUCAGGAGGAACACCAGUGGCGAAGGCGCCACUCUGGGCCGUAACUGACGCUGAGGAGCGAAAGCGUGGGGAGCAAACAGGAUUAGAUACCCCCGUAGUCCCUGAGCGGGCUGGCAAGGCGCAU